rnacentral:lncRNA from 1 species
GGCUGUUCCCUAUGUCCUCGAUGCCAUAGAAGGCUGUUCCUAUGUCCUCAAUACCAUAGAAGGCUGUUCCCAUGUCCUCAAUGCCAUAGAAGGCUGUCCCUAUGUCCUCAAUACCAUAGAAGGAUGUUCCUAUGUCCUCGAUGCCAUAGAAGGCUGUUCCCUAUGUCCUCGAUGCCAUAGAAGGCUGUUCCCUACGUCCUCGAUGCCAUAGAAGGAUGUUCCUAUGUCCUCGAUGCCAUAGAAGGCUGUUCCCUAUGUCCUCGAUGCCAUAGAAGGAUGUUCCUAUGUCCUCGAUGCCAUAGAAGGAUACCGUAUCAAAGGGGCUCUGGAGUUGGCUUCAUAUCCAACAGAUAAUUAGUCUUGAUGAGUCAUUAGAGCUCGAUAUUGAGUCAGAUCAUUAUCCUUCCUCUCAUUAUCCCUCCUCUCAUUAUCCCUCCUCUCAUUAUCCCUCCUCUCAUCUCUCCAUCACCUCACACAUUAUAUAUCCCUCCUCUCAUUAUCCCUCCUCUCAUUAUCCCUCUCAUUAUCCCUCCUCUCAUUAUCCCCCUCUCUCUCUCUCUCUCUCUCUCUCCAUCCAUCUCUCUCUCUCUCUCUCUCUCUCCAUCCCCCCUCUCUCUCUCUCCAUCCAUCCCCCCUCUCUCUCUCUUCAUCCAUCCCCCUCUCGCUCUCUCUCUCCAUGAUCUGUCUGUAACCUGCCAGGUGAUCUGUCUGUAACCUGUCAGGUGGUCUGAUGCUGUCAGGUUAUCUGUCUGUAACCUGUCAGGUGAUCUGUCUGUAACCUGGCAGGUGAUCUGUCUGUAACCUGC